rnacentral:rRNA from 1 species
AAAUUGAAGAGUUUGAUCAUGGCUCAGAUUGAACGCUGGCGGCAGGCCUAACACAUGCAAGUCGAACGGUAACAGAAAGCAGCUUGCUGCUUUGCUGACGAGUGGCGGACGGGUGAGUAAUGUCUGGGAAACUGCCUGAUGGAGGGGGAUAACUACUGGAAACGGUAGCUAAUACCGCAUAACGUCGCAAGACCAAAGAGGGGGACCUUAGGGCCUCUUGCCAUCGGAUGUGCCCAGAUGGGAUUAGCUAGUAGGUGGGGUAACGGCUCACCUAGGCGACGAUCCCUAGCUGGUCUGAGAGGAUGACCAGCCACACUGGAACUGAGACACGGUCCAGACUCCUACGGGAGGCAGCAGUGGGGAAUAUUGCACAAUGGGCGCAAGCCUGAUGCAGCCAUGCCGCGUGUAUGAAGAAGGCCUUCGGGUUGUAAAGUACUUUCAGCGGGGAGGAAGGGAGUAAAGUUAAUACCUUUGCUCAUUGACGUUACCCGCAGAAGAAGCACCGGCUAACUCCGUGCCAGCAGCCGCGGUAAUACGGAGGGUGCAAGCGUUAAUCGGAAUUACUGGGCGUAAAGCGCACGCAGGCGGUUUGUUAAGUCAGAUGUGAAAUCCCCGGGCUCAACCUGGGAACUGCAUCUGAUACUGGCAAGCUUGAGUCUCGUAGAGGGGGGUAGAAUUCCAGGUGUAGCGGUGAAAUGCGUAGAGAUCUGGAGGAAUACCGGUGGCGAAGGCGGCCCCCUGGACGAAGACUGACGCUCAGGUGCGAAAGCGUGGGGAGCAAACAGGAUUAGAUACCCUGGUAGUCCACGCCGUAAACGAUGUCGACUUGGAGGUUGUGCCCUUGAGGCGUGGCUUCCGGAGCUAACGCGUUAAGUCGACCGCCUGGGGAGUACGGCCGCAAGGUUAAAACUCAAAUGAAUUGACGGGGGCCCGCACAAGCGGUGGAGCAUGUGGUUUAAUUCGAUGCAACGCGAAGAACCUUACCUGGUCUUGACAUCCACGGAAGUUUUCAGAGAUGAGAAUGUGCCUUCGGGAACCGUGAGACAGGUGCUGCAUGGCUGUCGUCAGCUCGUGUUGUGAAAUGUUGGGUUAAGUCCCGCAACGAGCGCAACCCUUAUCCUUUGUUGCCAGCGGUCCGGCCGGGAACUCAAAGGAGACUGCCAGUGAUAAACUGGAGGAAGGUGGGGAUGACGUCAAGUCAUCAUGGCCCUUACGACCAGGGCUACACACGUGCUACAAUGGCGCAUACAAAGAGAAGCGACCUCGCGAGAGCAAGCGGACCUCAUAAAGUGCGUCGUAGUCCGGAUUGGAGUCUGCAACUCGACUCCAUGAAGUCGGAAUCGCUAGUAAUCGUGGAUCAGAAUGCCACGGUGAAUACGUUCCCGGGCCUUGUACACACCGCCCGUCACACCAUGGGAGUGGGUUGCAAAAGAAGUAGGUAGCUUAACCUUCGGGAGGGCGCUUACCACUUUGUGAUUCAUGACUGGGGUGAAGUCGUAACAAGGUAACCGUAGGGGAACCUGCGGUUGGA